AACGAACGCUGGCGGCAUGCCUAACACAUGCAAGUCGAACGAGACCUUCGGGUCUAGUGGCGCACGGGUGCGUAACGCGUGGGAAUCUGCCCUUGGGUUCGGAACAACAGUUGGAAACGACUGCUAAUACCGGAUGAUGACUUCGGUCCAAAGAUUUAUCGCCCAAGGAUGAGCCCGCGUAGGAUUAGCUUGUUGGUGAGGUAAAAGCUCACCAAGGCGACGAUCCUUAGCUGGUCUGAGAGGAUGAUCAGCCACACUGGGACUGAGACACGGCCCAGACUCCUACGGGAGGCAGCAGUGGGGAAUAUUGGACAAUGGGCGAAAGCCUGAUCCAGCAAUGCCGCGUAAGUGAUGAAGGCCUUAGGGUUGUAAAGCUCUUUUACCCGGGAUGAUAAUGACAGUACCGGGAGAAUAAGCCCCGGCUAACUCCGUGCCAGCCGCCGCUGUAAUAC
rnacentral:rRNA from 1 species